UACGGGGGGGGCAAGCGUUGUUCGGAAUUACUGAGCGUAAAGGGCUCGUAGGUGGCCAACUAAGUCAGACGUGAAAUCCCUCGGCUUAACCGGGGAACUGCGUCUGAUACUGGAUGGCUUGAGUUCGGGAGAGGGAUGCGGAAUUCCAGGUGUAGCGGUGAAAUGCGUAGAUAUCUGGAGGAACACCGGUGGCGAAGGCGGCAUCCUGGACCGACACUGACACUGAGGAGCGAAAGCCAGGGGAGCAAACAGG
rnacentral:rRNA from 1 species